CAACACAGCUUUAACGAGUUGUACCAAAAGCUAUCUUAUUUGUACAGUAACUAUGACCAACAUAGCAACAAAUAGUUGUACAAUAAGCAACAUAAAGUGUACAGUCAAGUUGUUUCCCAUUUAACACGUGUAAAUACACUAACUUUUCCCUCAGACAACAUGUAUCCCUCAACAAAAUAAACAUACAUCUCACCAACACCCCUUCAAAGAAUAAACUUGAUCUCACUGCUUUCAAGCUUUAGGUUUCAAUAGUCUAUGAGUUCUCUUUCUCCUAUUCUGUUCUAUUUCAAUUUCAAGUCUCUGUACUCAUUAAUUUUGGUAUGUUUGUAGUUAAAUUUAUUUAGAGAUUUUUGGAUUUCAAAGGUUUGCUCUGAAUUUUGUUUUUCCAGUUCCCAAGUUAUUGUUCUCUUCAUUUCUUUCAGUUUCAGCUUAACCUUGAUGAAUAUAGGAAUCACAAUUUUGGUAUGUGUAUCUUAGUUUCUUAUUCUUUUAGAUACAAUUUCUAGCUAAAAUUAAUUUCUACAUGCAUGUUUAACUAACUACCUGAUUUGCACAUCCAAGUUGUUUGAUUAUAUGCCUCACUUAACUUAUUUGAAGUUUCCUGUUGCCAUUCUCUAUUUUUGGGCUGUAGCAAGAUAGUCUUAUCAUCAACUGAUGUACCAGAAAAUAUUCAUUAGAUAGAGAAGAUCAUCAAGAUUUUGCAGGCGCUGCCGAACUUAUUUCAAUUUCAAGAGCUUAUAUCACAAUAAUGUCACAAAAUUAUUAUUUUAUAACAUUAAAGUAAUCAACUGUGUCCACCAAAGUACAGUAAAAUCAACCCAACAUUUCAGACUCAUGGUCUGAUUUGAUUGUAAUAUGUACAAAGAGUUGAACUGCUGCAACCUUUGGUGGUAAGUGAAUGAUAUCAUAUAUCAAUAUUUUUAGCUAUGCAAGAAGGAACAAGCCAAUGGACUUGAUUUUUUUUAUCUUCUAAGCACCACAAUGCACUUCCUUGCUUGAACUCUUGAUGUUGUGCUUGGUUUGUCAGAGGAGGAGCUCUUUGUUUUGAUGAGAGUUUUUAGGAAUCUUGCACUGUUUACUAUACUCACUUAGUUCUCCAUCUGCAAGGUAUAUGUUAGUUCCUAUUUUGGGUUUUAAUUAAUUUGUCUAUUCUUUUGAGUUGUUUCUUGUGGAUUUCUGAUUAUCCUUUAUGCAUGCAAAUGAUUUUAUUGUGAUUUGUACAUACAUCCUUGAAAAUACAUAGGUGCAAUGGAGUUUAGUUAUAUCAUAUUGUUCUUAGAUGAUAUCAUUGAAGUGCUGUGACACUAAUUCUUGGAUGAUACUGAUUAAAGUGGUGUCGCAGUGGCAAUAGAAAUAAAAUUCAAUUUUGUAAUUUCUGACACUCACCUUAUUUUAAGCUUUCACCUUCUAACGCGUGAACUAUAACAAUAGACAUGUGUAGUGCCUUUUUUGAUAACUAUUCUUUCAAUGUCAACACGAAAAUUGACUUCAACACUGCUCUUCUCUGAAGAUUUCAUUUUUCUCAGGCUCUUUUAGAGGUAAGUAUAUCUUUCCUUUCAAUGUAUUUGCAUCUAUGAAUAUGAAUGUUAAAUUUGACUGAUCAUAAACAAUUUUGAUAAUAAAAAAGGUGUUGGUUCUUAUCGUGAUAGAUUAGUAGAAUGGUAAAGUUUCAGUUGCAAGGGUCAAUUCAUCAUUUGGUAAAUCCUUCUAUUUAGAGGUGUAAUUUUUUAAUUUUAUUUCUACGAGCAUCUCUAGAAGAAGAAGCACAGGAAGUGGUAAGAUGUUAAUGGAUUUUUUCUCUAUUGUUGAAAUAUUGGAGUAAAAAGUAUUUACUUUUUUGUAGAGUUGUUGAUUAACUACUUACUAAUUUCUUAUUUGAUGAAUUUGUGUGAAUAAAUUGAUUUAUGUUGAGGGUAGGAGUUGCAAGUUUCUUUACUUUAUUUUUGCAAGGAACUGGAUGAUGUUUUAUGGUCGAAUACCACUUGACCAUAAGGAGAGAGGCAUUCAACCACUUCACUCUAAUGAGAUGAGUUUAGCAAAAAAAUUAGUUCAAAAGAAGCCACACGUUUAGAUAGAAAGAAUAGUUAAUGUCAAUUAGAGACAACUUUGUUGAACUCUUCCUUUUCGGGACUUACCAUCAUAUAUGAAUUAUGUUAGUAUGAAUCUAUGUAUUUGUCAACCUUCUGAUGGAGGCAUAUAGUAUCACUCAUCUAAUUUGCUAAUAACUUUUGGAACUACCGAGAUUGUUUUUUGAAAAUGGAUUCUUGCAAGUUUUCUUAUAUCUUCUAAAAUAGUUCUGCUCAAGAGGAGGAAAGCCAGAAUAUUUUACAUUGUACUUGACUCUGCCAAAUCUCAGGUUGUGGUGAUCUCACCCCGUGAUGAUGUUGUGGAGGCAGGACAUUAGUAGUAUUGUUGUGAGCAUGUACAUAAAGGUUGUCUUUAUCUGUAAUUUCUGAAAAAUAUUGUAGAUCUCAUUAUUUUUCUUGCCAUCCCUAUAAUCUGAUGAAUAACAACAAGGAAAAGAAAAUUAGCAACAAGAUAAUCUUGCAAGAAAUACAAGUGCAGUUAUGGUUCUAUAUAGAGACCCGACUACAUAGCUACUUGCUCUUACCUUAAAGGAAAAAAAUGUACUGAUAUUAGAUGAUUCAGUUCUUGAAUUUAUCACUUUUUAACAUAUGUAUGUUUUUACCAUUUGCAGCCUCCUCCUUUUUUGUCUGGCAACUUAGCUUCUCUACAAUAUCAGCACCUACUACAUUUUAGUAAAUAUUUCAAGUCUUUCCUUAUCCAUCAUCUUUUUUCAUUUGCCUUUUCAUUUAUUUCAGUGCCUAAGGAUGAUACAAGCAAACCUUGGAAGCUGACUUCCUUCUUGGGUUAUAAGGUUGGAAUAACCCACAUUGUGAGAGAAGUUGAAAAACAUGUAUCAAGUAAAUUCACCCUUUUAUUGAUAACAUUUCAGUUCAAUAUUCACAUUUUCGGCAUACAUUUAUUAUUUAGACUCGGGGUUGCUAGCGUUAUCCUACUAGCUUUCACUCCAAGGGAAGAUACUACUAUGUUGAUGCUAAAUAUUGAUUUUGACAUCUUAUUUGUUGAACUGUAAGACUCCACAAGAGAAAAACUUGUGAGAUGGUCAGUAUAAUUGAAACACUCUCAAUGGUGGUAGUUGGUGUUGUUGGGUAUGUUAUGACAUUCUCCAAGGAAGAGGCCAUUAUGAAGUACUGCUACAAAUAGCUGAUGAAUACCAAAGAUAUUCAGGAACACUUGGAGAAACUGAACAAGUAUGCUUGUGUCAUCUAUGUGUUAACUCUCACACAUGUAUCAAAUUUGAAUGCCAUCCCUCAGAUUUUGGGAGACCAUUGCUUGAAUAAGCUCUAGCUAUAUAUAAAAAAUGUAUUUCAAUAAUCAUGUGUUUCUCUGAAAUCGUAUUUAGACCAACAUUCAUGCUAUCAGUUAUAAUUAUAAUAAGAGGUGCUGUAAGAAAUAGUUUUUAAUUGAUAUUUGCACCUCUUAGAGUUAAAUAAGCGUUGUAAGGAUAAUUUUAGUGAUACUUGUAUGUCAUCUUAUUUUGCUAAGAAACAUGUGUGUGUUCUUUCAAAUUCACUAAUAGUGAUUAUUUAUGAAGUCAGUUUAUUGAUGAUAUAGGACUCGAGAAUGUGAACAAGAUAGCAAGAUAUCACCUACAAGACAUUUACUGGUUUCUGUCUAUAAUGUUUAUACCCAUGGAGUGGUCGUAUGCACUUAUCAUCACUUACCCAAUCAUGC
rnacentral:lncRNA from 1 species